GACGAACGCUGGCGGCGUGCUUAACACAUGCAAGUCGAACGAUGAAGAAGAGAAACGCGAACUUCGGUUCAAAUUUCACUUCGGAUUAGUGGCAGACGGGUGAGUAACGCGUGAGCAACCUACCUCUUACAAAGGGAUAGCCUCGGGAAACCGUGAUUAAUACCAUAUGACACAUUCAUAAGGCAUCUUAAGAAUGUUAAAGCUACGGCGGUAAGAGAUGGGCUUGCGUCCCAUUAGCUAGUUGGUGAGGUAACGGCCCACCAAGGCGACGAUGGGUAACCGGCCUGAGAGGGUGAACGGUCACAUUGGAACUGAGACACGGUCCAAACUCCUACGGGAGGCAGCAGUGGGGAAUAUUGCACAAUGGAGGGAACUCUGAUGCAGCGACGCCGCGUGAGCGAUGAAGGAAUUCGUUUCGUAAAGCUCUGUUCUAUGGGAAGAAAAGGACUGUACCAUAGGAGAAAGCCCCGGCUAAAUACGUG
rnacentral:rRNA from 1 species